UACGUAGGGUGCGAGCGUUUGUCCGGAAUUAUUGGGCGUAAAGGGCUCGUAGGCGGUUUGUCGCGUCGGGAGUGAAAUCAUCUGGCUUAACUGGGUGCUUGCUUUCGAUACGGGCAGACUAGAGGUAUGCAGGGGGAGAACGGAAUUCCUGGUGUAGCGGUGAAAUGCGCAGAUAUCAGGAGGAACACCGGUGGCGAAGGCGGUUCUCUGGGCAUGAUCUGACGCUGAGGAGCGAAAGUGUGGGGGAGCGAACAGG
rnacentral:rRNA from 1 species